AACUGAUACUACCUGCGGGAACCUGCGGAGGGAUCAUUACUGAACAAAAUUGGUUAGAUUGCUGCUGGCUUUUUCUUAAGAGCAUGUGCACGUCUGAUCUAUUUUUUCCGACCCCUGUGCACCUUGUGUAGACUUGGUUUGAGAAUUGCUGCGCUGUGCAAGCCAGCUCUUCUUGUUUGUUUCAGGUCUAUGUUUUUUUACAUAUGCUCUAUUAUUAGAAUAAACGAACGAACGAACGAA
rnacentral:misc_RNA from 1 species